rnacentral:rRNA from 1 species
GAUGAACGCUGGCGGCGUGCCUAAUACAUGCAAGUCGAGCGAACAGACGAGGUGCUUGCUCCUCUGACGUUAGCGGCGGACGGGUGAGUAACACGUGGAUACCCUACCUAUAAGACUGGGAUAACUUCGGGCAACCGGAUCUAAUACCGGAUAAUAUAUUGAACCGCAUGGUUCAAUAGUCAACGACGGUUUUGCUGUCACUUAUGGAUGGAUCCGCGCCGCAUUAGCUAGUUGGUAAGGUAACGGCUUACCAAGGCAACGAUGCGUAGCCGACCUGAGAGGAUGAUCGGCCACACUGGAACUGAGACACGGUCCAGACUCCUACGGGAGGCAGCAGUAGGGAAUCUUCCGCAAUGGGCGAAAGCCUGACGGAGCAACGCCGCGUGAGUGAUGAAGGUCUUCGGAUCGUAAAACUCUGUUAUUAGGGAAGAACAAAUGUGUAAGUAACUAUGCACGUCUUGACGGUACCUAAACAGAAAGCCACGGCUAACUACGUG